rnacentral:rRNA from 1 species
CCAGACUCCUACGGGAGGCAGCAGUGAGGACUCUUUUUCAAUGGGCUGCCUCCUGAACCCGCCCUGCCGCGUGCCGUCCGACGGCUCUACUCGUUGUAAACUGCUUUUGUACCGGGGUCACAUGCCUUCCGAGUAGGGUUUUGCAAGUACGGUACGAAUAAGGAUCGGCUAACUCCGUGCCAGCAGCCGCGGUAAUACGGCGGAUCCGAGCGUUAUCCGGAUUCAUUGGGUUUAAAGGGUGCGUAGGUUGUUUUAUAAGUUAGCGGUGAAAUACCGAUGCUCAACAUCGGGGCUGCCGCUAAUACUGUAGGACUAGAGAUCGGAUGCAGCAGGCGGAAUGUGUAGUGUAGCGGUGAAAUGCAUAGAUAUUACACAGAACACCGAUUGCGAAGGCAGCUUGCUAGGCCGGAUCUGACACUGAUGCACGAAAGCGUGGGGAUCGACCAGGAUUAGAUACCCGCGUAGA